rnacentral:rRNA from 1 species
UACGUAGGGGGCAAGCGUUAUCCGGAUUUACUGGGUGUAAAGGGAGCGUAGGCGGUUCAGCAAGUCAGAAGUGAAAGCCCGGGCUCAACUCCGGGACUGCUUUUGAAACUGUUGAACUAGAUUGCAGGAGAGGUAAGUGGAAUUCCUAGUGUAGCGGUGAAAUGCGUAGAUAUUAGGAGGAACACCAGUGGCGAAGGCGGCUUACUGGACUGUAAAUGACGCUGAGGCUCGAAAGCGUGGGGAGCAAACAGG